GUUAGAGUGGCAGAGCCCGGUUACUGCAAAAGUCCUAAACUCUUUCUACAAAGGUUCAAAUCCUUUCCCUAACU
rnacentral:tRNA from 1 species